rnacentral:misc_RNA from 1 species
GAUGAAGAACGCAGCGAAAUGCGAUAAGUAAUGUGAAUUGCAGAAUUCAGUGAAUCAUCGAAUCUUUGAACGCACAUUGCGCCCGCCAGUAUUCUGGCGGGCAUGCCUGUCCGAGCGUCAUUGCUGCCCUCAAGCACGGCUUGUGUGUUGGGCCUCCGUCCUCCUCCCGGGGGACGGGCCCGAAAGGCAGCGGCGGCACCGCGUCCGGUCCUCGAGCGUAUGGGGCUUCGUCACCCGCUCUUGUAGGCCCGGCCGGCGCUUGCCGACACAUCAAUCUUUUUUCCAGGUUGACCUCGGAUCAGGUAGGGAUACCCGCUGAACUUAAGCAUAUCAAUAAGCGGAGGA